UCGAGAAUCUUCGGCAAUGGGCGCAAGCCUGACCGAGCGACGCCGCGUGCGGGAUGAAGGCCCUUGGGUUGUAAACCGCUGUCAGAGGGGAUGAAGUGCGGGUGGGUCCUCCCAUCCGUUUGACAUAGCCUCAGAGGAAGCACGGGCUAAGUUCGUGCCAGCAGCCGCGGUAAUACGAACUGUGCAAACGUUAUUCGGAAUCACUGGGCUUAAAGGGUGCGUAGGCGGCCAUUUAAGUAGGGUGUGAAAGCCCCCGGCUCAACCGGGGAAUUGCGUCCUAAACUGGGUGGCUGGAGUGAGAUAGAGGUGUGUGGAACUUCCAGUGGAGCGGUGAAAUGUGUUGAUAUUGGAAGGAACGCCGGUGGCGAAAGCGACACACUGGGUCUCAACUGACGCUGAGGCACGAAAGCCAGGGGAGCGAACGG
rnacentral:rRNA from 1 species